rnacentral:piRNA from 1 species
UAGUGAUAUCAAUGUCAUGAAAAGUAAGA